GACGAACGCUGGCGGCGUGCCUAAUACAUGCCAGUCGAACGAGAGCGACCGGUGCUUGCACUGGUCAAUCUAGUGGCGAACGGGUGAGUAACACGUGGGUAACCUGCCCAUCAGAGGGGGAUAACAUCCGGAAACGGAUGCUAAAACCGCAUAGGUCUUCGAACCGCAUGGUUUGAAGAGGAAAAGAGGCGCAAGCUUCUGCUGAUGGAUGGACCCGCGGUGCAUUAGCUAGUUGGUGAGGUAACGGCUCACCAAGGCCGUGAUGCAUAGCCGACCUGAGAGGGUGAUCGGCCACAUUGGGACUGAGACACGGCCCAAACUCCUACGGGAGGCAGCAGUAGGGAAUCUUCCGCAAUGGACGCAAGUCUGACGGAGCAACGCCGCGUGAGUGAAGAAGGUUUUCGGAUCGUAAAACUCUGUUGUUAGAGAAGAACAAGUGCUAGAGUAACUGUUAGCGCCUUGACGGUGUCUAACCAGAAAGCCACGGCUAACUACGUG
rnacentral:rRNA from 1 species